GUCGGACUGGUGUAAUGGUAGCACUUCACGUUGUGGCCGUGACAAUCGCGGUUCGAUUCCGCGGUCCGACA
rfam:Monosiga brevicollis MX1 MONBRscaffold_4 genomic scaffold, whole genome shotgun sequence.